AACGAACGCUGGCGGCAUGCCUAACACAUGCAAGUCGAACGAGACCUUCGGGUCUAGUGGCGCACGGGUGCGUAACGCGUGGGAACCUGCCCUUAGGUUCGGAAUAACUCCCCGAAAGGGGUGCUAAUACCGGAUAAUGUCUUCGGACCAAAGAUUUAUCGCGUUUGGAUGGGCCCGCGUUGGAUUAGCUAGUUGGUAGGGUAAAAGCCUACCAAGGCGACGAUCCAUAGCUGGUCUGAGAGGAUGAUCAGCCACACUGGGACUGAGACCCGGCCCAGACUCCUACGGGAGGCAGCAGUGGGGAAUAUUGGACAAUGGGCGAAAGCCUGAUCGAGCAAUGCCGCGUGAGUGAUGAAGGCCUUAGGGUUGUAAAGCUCUUUUACCCGGGAUGAUAAUGACAGUACCGGGAGAAUAAGCUCCGGCUAACUCCGUG
rnacentral:rRNA from 1 species